rnacentral:rRNA from 1 species
UCCUCUUCUACGACUUUGGGGGGUGGCUUACACAUGCAAGUCGAACGAUGAGAGGGAGCUUGCUCCCUGGAUUAGUGGCGAACGGGUGAGUAACACGUGAGUAACCUGCCCUUGACUCUGGGAUAAGCACUGGAAACGGUGUCUAAUACCGGAUACGAACUUCAGCCGCAUGGCUAGGAGUUGGAAAGAAUUUCGGUCAAGGAUGGACUCGCGGCCUAUCAGCUAGUUGGUGAGGUAAUGGCCCACCAAGGCGACGACGGGUAGCCGGCCUGAGAGGGUGACCGGCCACACUGGGACUGAGACACGGCCCACACUCCUACGGGAGGCAGCAGUGGGGAAUAUUGCUCAAUGGGCGCAAGCCUGAUGCAGCAACGCCGCGUGAGGGACGACGGCCUUCGGGUUGUAAACCUCUUUUAUUAGGGAAGAAGCACAGUGUUUCACAUGGAGU